GAACGCGAAGAACCUUACCAAGUCUUGACAUCCUUUGACCACUCUAGAGAUAGAGCUUUCCCUUCGGGGACAAAGUGACAGGUGGUGCAUGGUUGUCGUCAGCUCGUGUCGUGAGAUGUUGGGUUAAGUCCCGCAACGAGCGCAACCCUUGUCAUUAGUUGCCAUCAUUUAGUUGGGCACUCUAAUGAGACUGCCGGUGACAAGCCGGAGGAAGGUGGGGAUGACGUCAAGUCCUCAUGGCCCUUAUGACCAGGGCUUCACACGUCAUACAAUGGUCGGUACAGAGGGUAGCCAAGCCGCGAGGUGGAGCCAAUCUCACAAAACCGAUCGUAGUCCGGAUUGCACUCUGCAACUCGAGUGCAUGAAGUCGGAAUCGCUAGUAAUCGCAGGUCAGCAUACUGCGGUGAAUACGUUCCCGGGUCUUGUACACACC
rnacentral:rRNA from 1 species